rnacentral:lncRNA from 1 species
AGUUGGGUUGCCUCCCAACAAGCGCUAAGUUUAACUUCUUUAGCCAGAUGCUAUGAGGGAGUCCCAUUUAUAGCCAACUUGGGUAUGUUCCUCAAGGUUUCAAAAGGAUAAGAUCAAUUAGGAGGCCUUGUCAUCAUAGCCAAAAAAUAUUCAUGGAAUACUCUACAACGAUUAGCCCAGACUAAUAGAAUGUAUUGGGCAAGCAUGUAAUAUCAGGGACUAAUAAUAUUCUUAUAAUUUUUUUGAUGACCAG